UCAAAACAAGAGCACUGAAGUGCUGGGGAC
rnacentral:piRNA from 2 species